rnacentral:rRNA from 1 species
UACGUAGGGUGCGAGCGUUGUCCGGAAUUAUUGGGCGUAAAGAGCUCGUAGGCGGUUUGUCGCGUCUGCUGUGAAAACUCGGGGCUUAACUCCGGGCCUGCAGUGGGUACGGGCAGACUAGAGUGCGGUAGGGGAGACUGGAAUUCCUGGUGUAGCGGUGAAAUGCGCAGAUAUCAGGAGGAACACCGGUGGCGAAGGCGGGUCUCUGGGCCGCCACUGACGCUGAGACACGAAAGCGUGGGUAGCAAACAGG